AUGGACUUUCAGAGCACUCAGGGCAAUUAUUGUUUCCAUGAAAAUGUUCUGCUGCACGGAGAUGGAUCAAAUGGAGCUGGAAACCCAGCCGAUGUCAUGUCUAGGGUGGACCUCGAAAUUCAAUUUGGCUCUGAGAAGUUACUGAAUUUAGAGAUGCUGGUGAUGGAGGUAGCUGACCGAGCAAAUGAUAUUGAACCUCUCAUGCUGGACCCUGGGUCACUUUCGACUGAGUCGCUCGAGAAUGCUUUCGAAUUUGACCUAUUGUACGGGAUUCUAGAUGCAGAAGUCAGGGAGUUGGAGAGGUUAAUCAGUUAUAUUCAAAUCGAUAUUGGAAACAUCGAAAAGAAGCUUAACGGGGAAGAGUCAGAGGGCUGGUUGAAGGGUAAGCUACAUGCUGCCAUGGACUCCUUGAAGCAGAUGCAGGAGGUGAUAGCCACAAUUAGAAGAGAGUUUGCAAACUUUGAAAAAGCCCUAGACCCUUCCCACCGUAAAGCUGGAAAUAGUGAAGGUGGUGCAUAUGAAAAUGGACACGUUUCAUCUCACACAACUAUCCAGGCUGAGGGCCAAAGGAAUGUUCUUCAGAUGUUAGAACAGUCGAUAGCAAAUGAAUUAGAUCUUGAAAAGAAGCUAAGUGAUUUGGGGGUUCUCGUGGAAGAGCUGAAAAUGAAGCUGCAUCAUGUUGAACACGGGUCGUAUUUCUUGGAGGAAUCGGUUGAAGCGAUUUCUGAAAGAAUGUUUGCAGCAGAAAAUGCUUCCGAGUUGUUUCUUGUAACGUCAAAGGAACUUGUUAACAGAAUUAAUACCAUGCAGUACCAACUAAGUGCAUCAGGUUGUAGGGAAAGUGAUCUUAAAGCAAAGCUAGAGCAAAGCUUGGUGCAGUUAAAUGCUUUGAAUGGCUCACUGGAGAUGAUGCAAAAUGGCGGUGAGGAGAAUGCCAGCCAGGAUUCCAUGCAGAGGCAAAGGCUGUCGACCCCUGAGUUCUUCGCUUUACAGCAUAAGGUUCAGAAACUGGAGGAGUGGCUGAGGGAAUCUUGCUCCCAAUUGCAGUUCGUAACAGUAUCGACAGAAGGAAAUGAAAAAGAGCAGAAUAUGUCACCAUCUGAGAUAAGCAGAUUUAGGAAUAUAAUCAAUGAUAUUAAAGAUGCUGUUUCCAAAGCAGAAAGUAGAACACAAAAGGCCGAAGCAAGGUGUGCAGAGCUCACUCACACUAAUGUACAACUUAAUGGGGAGCUAAAUCAUAUGAAGACUCGGGGGUCAGAUAAGGCAGGCUUAUUGGAAAUGGAUCUUAUGGAGACAGAAGCUCAGUUAGAGCAUACAGUGGCAUCAGUUGAGGCUAUUAGUGAACAUCAGAGCAUGUUAAAGUCUUCAAUCUCUGAUAUGCAACAUGUGAUUGAAGAUCUGAAGGAUAAGUAUUUGAAAGCUGAAACCAGGGCUGAGAAUGCUGAAUCAAAAUGUACAUUGUUGACAGAUACCAAGUUCGAGCUUAGUGAAGAGAUAUCAUUUCUGAGAGGUCGAGUUGGAGGUCUAGAGAACUCGUUACGCCAAGCUAACCAACUAAAGCUGUCCACUGCAAAAGAUAUUGGUAUUAAAACUAAGACCAUCACUGACUUGGUUGCGAAACUUGCAUUGGAAAGAGAACGCCUUCAUCUGCAGAUUGUCACGCUAACAAGGAAGAACAGGAUGUUGACUCAAAAAUGCAAAGAGAAUGUCAAUGAAGGCACCUUGUUAAGCAAAAAGGUUACUGCUAAUGAAGGUGAACUCAGGCCGACUGGUGUAAUAGAGGAAGUACUUCUGGAUUCUUCAUCAAUGCAGACAAAGGUGAAGGCUGACGCUCUUAUUGGAGAGAAGGAAGCUGGGAUUACUGCUGUGCUUGAUGAUGAAUCUUGCACUCUUGAGACCGUGCGUUCUAUUGAGCCAACACUCCUGAACUGGAAGUACAUUUUCGUGGCAUUCCUUUUCUUGUUGGCUGCCGCUCUUGUGCACCUACAACUAACGUACCCUGUAUUACCAGGUAGUAUGUAA
rnacentral:rRNA from 1 species